rnacentral:lncRNA from 1 species
CCUGCACAAAGAUAACAUAACACAAACAUUAGCUUAGCCAUGAAUUUACCAAAUAACAAACAACAAACUAUAAUCUUGAAACUUACAUCAUCGGAUUCUUCCUUCUCUUCCACCUUCUUCUCUUCCUUUGCUUCGGCAGCAGGUGCAGCAGCAGCAGCACCUCCUCCAGUUGCAGCAGAAACAGCAACAGCACCACCACCUGAUGGAACUGAAGCCAACUUUUCUCUUCCACUGGCAAUAAGCUCAGCAAAGUCCUUGCCCUUGACUUCACUUAGGAGCAACUCAAUGUUGCAAUCCUCAGCUUCAACUCCAACUACAAUCAAAAAGCCAAAAAUAAACUCACUUUUUUAAUAUACAAUUCAAUGUUCUAAUUUCUUCAUUCAAAUAUCUUUCCUAAUCGAAGAAACCCGUUUCCUUCAAUGACAGUAAAAAAUACAGAUAAAUCAGACAAAUGCAAGCUUGGCUUUGCUGAUUGAAAAUUCAGUAAAAUCAAAUUCAACUAUAAAAAUGAAAACAUAAACAACAUAAAAAACUAAAUGUCUAUAUCAAACCCAUAUAUGGGGCUGUUUGGGUAAAAACCAGACUUGCAGCUUAUAGCACAAGCACUUAUAAAUAAGAUUGCAUAGCUAUUUUAAUAGCAAAAGAUAAAAUAAUUUCAACUUGUUUUUGUAUUUGCUAUAAAUUGUUUUUGGGACCACCAUUUGGAUUGACUUCUUUUGAGCUUAAGCAAAAUAGCUUAUACAAAUAAUUCAUAAGUUCUCACUUAACAAAAAUUGUAUCUUCAUUUGCAGUUUUUUAAUAUGAAAAAGCUUAAUUAUAUGCAUAAGCUGUUUUUCAUAAGCUCAAAAACAUGGCAAUACUAACGGGCCCUUUAUAAGCUAAAUUGGA